UACGGAGGGGGCUAGCGUUGUCCGAAGUUACUGGGCGUAAAGCGCGCGUAGGCGGGUUGGUAAGUCCGCUGUGAAAGCCCGGAGCUUAACUCCGGAGGGUCGGUGGAUACUGCCAGUCUUGAAGGUGCUAGGGGGAGAUGGAAUUACCGGUGUAGCGGUGAAAUGCGUAGAUAUCGGUAGGAACACCAGUGGCGAAGGCGGUCUCCUGGGGCAUUACUGACGCUGAUGCACGAAAGCUAGGGGAGCAAACAGG
rnacentral:rRNA from 1 species